UACGUAGGGACCAAGCGUUGUUCGGAUUUACUGGGCGUAAAGGGCGCGUAGGCGGCUUGUCAAGUCACUUGUGAAAUCUCUGGGCUUAACCCAGAACGGCCAAGUGAAGCUGUCAUGCUAGAGUGCAGAAGGGGCAAUCGGAAUUCUUGGUGUAGCGGUGAAAUGCGUAGAUAUCAAGAGGAACACCGGUGGCGAAGGCGGGUCUCUGGGCAAUUCCUGACGCUGAGGCGCGAAAGCGUGGGGAGCAAACGGG
rnacentral:rRNA from 1 species